GGCCACCGCCAUACCACCCUGAACAAGCUCGAUAUCCUCUGAUCUCGGAAGCUAAGCAGGGUCCGGCCUGGUUAGUACUUGGAUGGGAGACCACCUAGGAAGACCAGGUGCUGUAGGAG
rnacentral:rRNA from 1 species